AGUGAACGCUGGCGGUAGGCCUAACACAUGCAAGUCGAACGGCAGCACAGUAAGAGCUUGCUAUUACGGGUGGCGAGUGGCGGACGGGUGGGGAAUACAUCGGAAUCUACUUUUUCGUGGGGGAUAACGUAGGGAAACUUACGCGAAUACCGCAUACGACCUACGGGUGAAAGCAGGGGAGCUUCGGACCUUGCGCGAGUGAAUGAGCCGAUGUCGGAUGAGCUAGUUGGAGGGGUAAAGGCCCACCAAGGCGACGAUCCGUAGCUGGUCUGAGAGGAUGAUCGGCGACACUGGAACUGAGACACGGACCAGGCGCCUACGGGAGGGAGCAGUGGGGAAUAUUGGACAAUGGGCGCAAGCCUGAUCCAGCCAUACCGCGUGGGUGAAGAAGGCCUUCGGGUUGUAAAGCCCUUUUGUUGGGAAAGAAAAGCAGCAGGUUAAUACCCCGCUGUUCUGACGGUAACCAAAGAAUGAGAACCGGCUAAAUUCGUG
rnacentral:rRNA from 1 species